GGGGAAUAUUGGGCAAUGGAGGAAACUCUUACCCAGCAAUGCCGCGUGAGUGAUGAAGGUCUUUGGAUUGUAAAGCUCUUUGAUUGGGGACGAAUAAAUGACGGUACCCAAAGAACAAGCCCCGGCUAACUAUGUGCCAGCAGCCGCGGUAAUACAUAGGGGGCGAGCGUUGUCCGGAAUGACUGGGCGUAAAGGGUGUGUAGGCGGUUUAUUAAGUUAGAAGUGUAAUACCUAGGGCUUAACUCAGGUGCUGCUUCUAAAACUGAUGAACUUGAGUGUAGGAGAGGAUGAUGGAAUUCCUAGUGUAGCGGUGGAAUGCGCAGAUAUUAGGAGGAACACCAGAGGCGAAAGCGAUCAUCUGGACUACAACUGACGCUGAGGCACGAAAGCGUGGGGAGCAAAC
rnacentral:rRNA from 1 species